rnacentral:rRNA from 1 species
UACGUAGGUGGCAAGCGUUAUCCGGAAUUACUGGGCGUAAAGGGUGCGUAGGUGGUUUCUUAAGUCAGAGGUGAAAGGCUACGGCUCAACCGUAGUAAGCCUUUGAAACUGGGAAACUUGAGUGCAGGAGAGGAGAGUGGAAUUCCUAGUGUAGCGGUGAAAUGCGUAGAUAUUAGGAGGAACACCAGUUGCGAAGGCGGCUCUCUGGACUGUAACUGACACUGAGGCACGAAAGCGUGGGGAGCAAACAGG